rnacentral:rRNA from 1 species
GACGAGUCUCACAAACGUUAUUCGGAAUUACUGGGCUUAAAGGGUGCGUAGGCGGUGGAGUAAGUCGGGUGUGAAAUACCAUAGCUUAACUAUGGAACUGCACUCGAUACUACUUUGCUAGAGUAAGACAGAGGUGAGUGGAACUGAGGGUGGAGCGGUGAAAUGCGUUGAUAUCCUCAGGAACACCGGUGGCGAAGGCGACUCACUGGGUCUUUACUGACGCUGAUGCACGAAAGCUAGGGUAGCAAACGGG